AUGCAGGUCUUUUACAUUUGCAGAGGAGGAAAGAAAACGCUUUUUUCAUGUGCUCUGAUAGUGUUGCUAUUGGAAGACAUGAAUGAUUGUGUUCAGGUUUGGUUAAAAAUUAUGUCAAGCAUGAGUUUUCCUUGGUGCAGUUGUAAUGACUUGUCCAGCAAACACUGCAGGUUUCCACCCACCCCAGAGCAUAUCCAGCAGAGAAGAAUUCAUACAGCCACAAGAUAAAUCAUAUUUCCCACAGAGCAGUCUCCAGGAAAAAACUCUUUCUUCAAAUCAUCAAUAGACAAAUAAAUUGCAGAUUUGUUCUGAAACA
rnacentral:lncRNA from 1 species